rnacentral:rRNA from 1 species
AUUGAACGCUGGCGGCAUGCCUUACACAUGCAAGUCGAACGGCAUCGCGGGAAAGCUUGCUUUCCUGGCGGCGAGUGGCGAACGGGUGAGUAACACAUCGGAACGUACCGGCUAGUGGGGGAUAACCCGUCGAAAGACGGGCUAAUACCGCAUACGCUCUUCGGAGGAAAGCAGGGGACCUUUGGGCCUUGCGCUAGCCGAGCGGCCGAUGUCCGAUUAGCUAGUUGGUGGGGUAAAGGCCUACCAAGGCGACGAUCGGUAGCGGGUCUGAGAGGACGAUCCGCCACACUGGGACUGAGACACGGCCCAGACUCCUACGGGAGGCAGCAGUGGGGAAUCUUGGACAAUGGGGGCAACCCUGAUCCAGCAAUGCCGCGUGGGUGAAGAAGGCCUUCGGGUUGUAAAGCCCUUUCGGCAGGGAAGAAAUCGGCGGGGCGAAUAACCCUGCUGGAUGGCGGUACCUGCAGAAGAAGCACCGGCUAACUACGUG